CUAUUGGUAGUUUUGUCCUUAACAGUAGUGACUGUAGCUUGAAGCUAGAAUAUCAAGCUACAGUCACUACUAUUAAGGACAAAACUACCAAUAG
rnacentral:miRNA from 1 species